rnacentral:rRNA from 1 species
CCUACGUGAGGCAGCAGUGGGGGAUAUUGCCCAAUGGGCGCAAGCCUGAUGCAGCGACGCCGCGUGAGCGAAGAAGUAUUUCGGUAUGUAAAGCUCUAUCAGCAGGGAAGAAAAUGACGGUACCUGACUAAGAAGCUCCGGCUAAAUACGUGCCAGCAGCCGCGGUAAUACGUAUGGAGCAAGCGUUAUCCGGAUUUACUGGGUGUAAAGGGAGCGUAGGCGGCCCUGUAAGUCUGAUGUGAAAAUUUGGGGCGCAACCCCCAACGUGCAUUGGAAACUGCGGGGCUUGAGUGCGGGAGAGGCAGGCGGAAUGCGUAGUGUAGCGGUGAAAUGCGUAGAUAUUAGGAAGAACACCGGUGGCGAAGGCGGCAUACUGGCCGGUAACUGACGCUGAGGCUCGAAAGCGUGGGGAGCAAACAGGAUUAGAGACCCGUGUAGUC